UAUAUUUUAGUGUAAGAAGCACAAAAACUUUUGAUGUUUUUAGGAAUAGUUUAAUUCUGUUAAAUAUAA
rnacentral:tRNA from 1 species